UGUACUCACUAUUGUGAGUCGCUCUGGAUAAGAGCGUCUGUUAAAUGACUCAAA
rfam:Salmo salar isolate Sally breed double haploid chromosome ssa06, whole genome shotgun sequence.